rnacentral:tRNA from 1 species
GCGCCCUUAGCUCAGCUGGAUAGAGCACGUCCCUUCUAAGGAUGUGGUCAGAGGUUCGAAUCCUCUAGGGCGUG